rnacentral:rRNA from 1 species
GCAGGCGCGAAACCUUUACACUGCACGACAGUGCGAUAGGGGGAUCCCAAGUGCACAGGCAUAGCGCCUGUGCUUUUCGGUACCCUAAGGCGGUACCAGAAUAAGGGCUGGGCAAGACCGGUGCCAGCCGCCGCGGUAAUACCGGCAGCCCAAGUGAUGGCCGAUCUUAUUGGGCCUAAAGCGUCCGUAGCUGGCCGUACAAGUCCAUCGGGAAAUCCACCUGCUCAACAGGUGGGCGCCCGGUAGAAACUGUGCGGCUUGGGAUCGGAAGGCGCGACGGGUACGUCCGGGGUAGGAGUGAAAUCCCGUAAUCCUGGACGGACCGCCGAUGGCGAAAGCACGUCGCGAGAACGGAUCCGACAGUGAGGGACGAAAGCCAGGGUCUCGAACCGGGUUAGAUACCCGGGUAGUCCUGGCCGUAAACAAUGCCUGCUAGGUGUGGCUCCCACUACGAGUGGGUGCUGUGCCGUAGGGAAGCCGCUAAGCAGACCGCCUGGGAAGUACGUCCGCAAGGAUGAAACUUAAAGGAAUUGGCGGGGGAGCACUACAACCGGAGGAGCCUGCGGUUUAAUUGGAUUCAACGCCGG